CCCUUAGAUGUUCUGGGCCGCACGUGCGCUACACUGAUACGUUCAGCGAGUAUAUAACCUUGAUUGGAAAAUCUGGGUAAUCUUUUGAAUGCGUAUCGUGCUAGGGAUAGAUUAUUGCAAUUAUUAAUCUUGAACGAGGAAUUCCUAGUAAACGCAAGUCAUCAGCUUGCAUUGAUUACGUCCCUGCCCUUUGUACACACCGCCUGUCGCACAAACCGAUUGAAUGAUUCGGUGAAAAUUUUGGACAUCGAGAGUGGUGAUUAAUUUCGCUGCUCUUAAAUGGAAAGAAUUUAAACCUAAUUAUUUAGAGGAUUGUGAAGUCAUAACA
rnacentral:rRNA from 1 species